GUCAUCUUGAAAUCAAACCUCAUACACCAAUUAGAGCCAAAUUGUAUUAUUGCAAAAAGGUUCUUGAAAAUUCGAAGUGGGGGAAACAUUUUUUCAGAGCGUGAUAAUAUAUCACAUGGUCAAAAAGAAUAAGAAAAAUAAGAGAGGAAAGAGCCAGUCCUUGAACGUACAAGCCGCUCCUCCGACCCUGGGCCACUACAGACCCACGGAUGGACGAGUGAAGGAAGGAGGUAGGAGAGGGGAAAACAAAGUGUGGAGAUCUAAACCUUAUAAGACAAGGUGAAAGAAUAAAAAGGGUGUUCGGCGUAGGGUGACUGUAUCAAGUUGGAACACAUGCAACUGAUUCCAAGGUUCAAGGCUGAAGAUCAGU